UAAGCUUUCAAGAAACUAUCUAGUUUUAAUCAAUGAGAAGAACCAUUGAGGUCAGGUUAUUAUCCAAGAUAAAGGCCAAACUGUUGUAUCAUCGUUUCUCAAUAUCUUACAACUGUAGACUUAUUUUUCUUCCCCUAAAACAUAUUUCUAUCAUAUAUUUAUAUUUGUGACAUUUGCUAUAAUGUGAUAAUUCCUUGGGUUUUAAUAAGCAAACUAAUAGUCUUUAAAAAAUUACCUGAUAUGUAUGACUUAAUUAUUGGCGCAAUUAAGCAGUAACUGUAAAAUUAGUGAGUAAAUACCAUUCAACCACAAGUAUAUAUGCUAAUAUGACAGACGGCAGAGAAUUAUACCCCGAAAAUGAGCUUUCCUCAACAUUCCCUUCUAGCUACCUGAAAAAGGAAGGUCUACUGAAUCUCUACUAGUAGACACCAUUGAUCUCCACUGAUUUACAAGAAUAAUAAUGUGAAACCAAUGAAAACAUGAUGGCAUGCAGCACAGACGGAAGGGUCCAGCUCUAUUGCCCAGGCUGGAAUACGGUGGUGCAAUCUCAGCUCACUGCAGCCUCGAUCUCCAAUGCUCAAGCCGUCCUCCCACUUCAACCUCCCAAGCAGCUGGGACUACAGGCAUGUACCACCAUGCCAGGAUAAUUUUGUUUACUUCUUGGAGAGAUGAAAUCUCACCAUGUUGCCCAGGCUGGUCUCUAACUUGGUCUCAUGCAAUCCUCCCACCUCGGCCUUCCAAAGUGCUGGAAUUACAGUAGUGAAUUCUGGCAUUAAACAACUGAGAGGAAGGUGCUAAAGUGGAUGGCCUGAGAUCCUCUCACUCCCUUUAUGGAAGAAUGAUGGAUGGUAGACACUCUACUGGGGGAAGGAAAAGAAGGUAGGUAACUCCUUAUAAUCUCCCUGUCAACUUAACUGCUGACUAAAAAACUAACGUUAUUUGCUAGUAAGAAACACCUUAACUCUUAACUGCCUUUACUAGGAUGCCCCAAGCUAGGGAUUGCCUAGGAAAAUAGAACCCAGGAUUUAUCAGGUAUGGCUUCGGGGGGAUGGGAGGGUCAUGUCAUGAAAGCUAUGCCAUUCCCUCAAAUUGUUUAGUAUUUUAAAAGUUCUGAAUUUAUUAAUCUGAAUCAGAAUCUGUGAGCUGUCAUUGAUGAUCCAGAUAGGUCUUUGCGUUGUCUAAGCCUUUUCCUUGACUACAUCCUUGAAAUUAUUUAGUAAAGUUUGAUAGGUAAAAUCUCUGAUUCCUGAGAGUCUGAUUUGACAAUUGGGUCCUGUAAAUUAGCUCAAUGACCUAAGUGGAUAGAGGUUUUACGCGUUACUAAAGAUGCUAGCUAAGCCUGGCCUUUAAGGGAGUUCAGUGAGGGUCUCUCUAAGUGUCUUGCAUAAGCAUCAAAAUAUAUUUAAUUUGUGUCACACAAGAGCCUGGGUGAUUAAUAUGUGUGGCUUCUGCAUCUACCAUUUGAAUAAUGUUAGAAAUAAUUUGUUGAAAUGGGAAUUUUAUGGCCUCAUUGUUAAACGAGUCCUAAAGAUUAUCAACAAAAUCAUCAUGGCAAGUAUGACCACAUUCCAGCAGGAUACGCCUCAUCAUCAGUGCAAGCCUUGAAAAAGAGGUGAAGAAAACAGAUAUGGAAACUUUGACCUUUCACUGAUUUCUAGAGUACAACACUUGGAGUUGAAAGGGCCAAGGAUAUCGAGAAUUAAUUCUUUCUUUGAAGAAUAUGAAUCUUUGAUUUGCUAUAAAUUCCUACAAUAAAGGAAGAAUGUCCUUUUCACCUGAAGCCUAGUGGGAAUGGCUUCACAAAGGCCAGUCAGAUUUUGGGAAUCAAUGAAACAGAUACAUUCCUCCUUCUUAACUAAACUGCUUCUCACUGCAUCCCUCUCUCACUCCAUCAAUAAUGGGGGACAAGAAACCUCAAACAGCUGGUAGUUGGGGAGAAGUCAGUCGAGUGAAAAAAUAAAGCCCACCAAGGAGGCCACUAAUCUGAAGGAGAUAAAAUCCUGGAAAAGAAGAGGUUCAACCCUAAACUAAAUUAUAGGUUUUUUUUUUUUUUAAUUCCUUGGAUCUUAAUACAUUGAUUAGCAAAAAAAAAAAAUUGAUCUGUAACAGUGGCUGUAAGUGAUCAGAGGACAUUUAAUUUUAUGAGGGAGAGUGAAUAGUUAUGACGAUUGUCCAUAUUUUCACCCAUGGUUGAAGGAAGAGCCAGCAUUUAGAAGGGAUUUGAAUGAUCAGUGGGGAUGGGAGGAUAGGCAGUUAGAAGGCAGAAUAAGAUACUUAUCUGACGUGAAUAUUUUUUUUUCUUAAUAUCACCAAAAAACAUAUACUUGUCAUAUUCCUCUUCUAUAAUUUUUGGUGAUGUAACUGUGAUAAAAGACAAAUCUCAAAUAUAAGUAUAUAAAUUGGGCUAGGAGAUGUAGAUGUAUUUAAAUAACUCCUUCUAUUGGAAGGGCCCAAGAUCAUAGGCCCUUCCCAGGGUGAUCUAUGCCCAGUGUCGGUAGACAUGGGAUAUAAACACUUGGGCCUCUUUCCCCAGCUAGGAGAAUCUGGAGGUUCCUUUCAGCCUUAGAGCUCCGCAUAGGGUUGACUGAGGCCAAUGUUGAGACUGCAUCACAGCCAUCAUCUUGCUUUGUCCACUUCUCCUUCCUCCCUUUCCCUUUCCUUCACUGGUGCUGAUUCUACAAUUUCUCAUAAAUCUUCAGCAUACUACACCCAUCUCAGAGCUGGCCUCAUGAGGAAGUCGCGCUGCCACAGGAACCAUUGUCAUCUCUGUGUCAAGUUCACGAAGUUCACAAAUAAGCAAAGAGAUGUGCACUACUAUUUGACACUUAGGUAUAUUGGAGCACAAUUUGACAUGAAUAAUUAUUAGGGUUUACAUUUAUUUUCUUAAUUGUGUUCAAAUGCACUUCCUUUAAGUUCCUAGAAGAAAUACAUUUUAUUAUAUUGGUAUAAAUUAUGUGGAAGUUUUUAGAGGAAAUGUAAUGCUGUGUAAAGUGAAAUAAAAUAGUUUC
rnacentral:lncRNA from 1 species